AGGGCGGGGCGGCCCUGCCUGGGAAUUAAGGAAUUAAUAAUCUCCCUGCCUGGGAAUUAAGGGAUUAAUAAUCUUUAAGGUCAUAGAAUCCCACUGUCAGUCCACCCCUGCUGCUGUGAACGCUCAACCGUAUCACCCAAGCGCCUCUUAAACGCCUCCAGGGGUGGUGAGUCCCACUUACCUGGGUGCACAUAAUGAUCCUGCUCCUGACACAGAUCUUUUGCCACACAGGAAGCCUGUGAGGAAGCUGAGAAGUGCUUCUUGGAUUAUCAGUCCUUUCCAGAAGUUACACUCUUCUCCUUGGAAAUGUUAUCAUGGGUGGUCUUGAUGGAAAAGCACUGCAGAUUCUAAUGGUGAAUGUUAAAGUGGCUUCAUAAAUCCGUGCACAAACUGAAGUGGCAGGAGCUGCAUCCAGCCUCUCCAGUUUACCUGGCCAUGCUAUUGCAGUUUAUUUAGGUCUGGACAAGCUCACUGUUGUUCCUGCUUGCACAAUCCAGCUGCAUUUCCAUUCUGGUCAGGUCAGUGUCCAUCAUUUCCAGGCAGUUAUCUUCAGCACUCCCCUCCACUUCAGUCUCCAGACUUGCCUGCAGAGACUCAGUUGCAUGCUGGUGAGUGUUUCUGUGGACUCCACUGAAGCAUAUGGUACAGCAGUCUGUUAUCUUGAGUCUGAUCCAGCCCUUGUAUCAAAUUAUUGCCCACCAAGUAAUAAAAAUAUAGUUAUUUUCAAAUCUGUUAAAACUGAGAUACCAGGACUUUGUACCAAGCCAUUCAUGAAUACUUCCUUUUAAAACAGGGCUGGAGAAAUUUCAAGAGGUCAUCCUAAAAAUGUACUGUCUAAAAUCUGGAUCACCUCCUGCCAAACCAGCCCCACUUGAUAUGAGACCAGACUGCAUUUAACUUCCAAUAACAGAGACUGUAACCUCCAGACAAUCUGGUCCAAGCAGUAAUUCUCCUUAAUGAUUAUCAAACUUUCCUAAUGUCUAACUUAAAACCUCCAUACUGCAGCCUUAUUAUAAUGUAAUAAUGGUCUACAUGAUUAUACAUACAAAAUCCAUCCAGUUAUACAUCCAAAAUCCAUCUGGUGGGCAGCAGGCACCAGGCUGGCAGGAAUCUCUCACAUCUGCAGCAUUGAUACCUCCAAGGGAGACUCUGCUUCCUCCAGUGCCACCUGCAGUUUGUCCUUCUCCAUCUCCAGCCUCCCCAUUUGCAAUUCCUGAGUGUUCUUCCCUCCCAUCCUCAGCUGACUGAUUAGAUCCUUAAUUUCCUCUAGAGAAGAUAUUUCAUGUGAUAUGUUUAUUUCAGGACUAUGAACUUUACCAAGUGCACCAGACAGAUCCUCUGACUGGAAAUAGCAUGAAAUGGUUUCAGUCUCUUUAUGUCAGCUGCCCUUUUCUUUCAUUGCUAAAUAUUAUCCUGGAUUUCUGAAUGAGCCCUGCUAGCUGCGUGUGUUCACAGAGGUGGAAGAAUGAAGUGCACUAAAUAAAGAGAAUUUUUUUUCCCAGUUUCCUUUCCCCCUUUCAGAUGGUUGCUUUCACAAAAUGGGAACAGGACACCACAUCAUCUCCAGGCUGCAGAGAGGGGCUCUCUGGCAGCUGAUGGAGGCUGGAGCAAAGAGCUGGGGAGAGAGCCCAGGAAACACUGGGUAUGUGCCAGGGUGUCCAUCACUGUUUUCUCUUGGCCACAAGAACAGCAGACUGUAGCAUCUUCUAAAUGUUUACAGUGUCAUCUUCCAGCCUCCUGUAAGAGAUCAAUUUUUGUAAUUUACAGAAGUGUAAAAAAAAGAAAAGUGGGGUGGAACUGGUAUCACUGGACAGUAGUAGGGAGAAGGGAUGUGAAGAGGAGAUUGAGAGGAGUCUGACUGACUUGCUCUGGACUGAUUUCUGGAGAUGCUGAAUCCUCUCCAUGGGGGUUAAAGGAAAUGUCAUCUUCCCAGGGUAAAGCUGGCUGUUGUUAACAGCCCCUCCAAGUGAAUUGCUUAGAAUUAGAGGAUGCUGGUAGCCAGAACUGGCACCACAGCCUCUCUUUUAUGGCACCAAAUUAAUGUCCUCAGAGACUGAAAGCACUGCUAGGAAUAAGGAAAAUGGAAUCGGUGCUGGAAGACACCCCAAGAGAUCAUUCAGUAGAAAUCAAGAGGCUUAUGAUGUGCUGAAUUUUUGUACAUCAAACCAGUACUUAACCUUAGGGGCCUUGUUCUCUUUCUUCAUAGAUCCCAGGUGCUCCAAGGAUUCUUCAUAAGCAGCCUUAAGCUCUACAUUUUCAGUUGUGUACAUUCCUUCUGUGAAUUUACUUCAACCUGCAGCUCUUUGUCCUUUAUUUGCCAUUCCUUUAGCAUCUUACCAAAGGCUCUGUGCCUCUUGUCCAGAGCAGCACAAGCAGCAUUGGCCUGGAAAAAUAAAGCCAAGCAUUCACUGGACACAAGUUUUCUUCACACUUCACUUGUCUGCAUGUCCUGCCAGCCAGUCACAGUUAAAUUGGCAGCCAUUCUAAAGGCUGGCAGCAUUUCUCUUGGUCACUCUGAAUGGAUAAUUAAAAUGUUUAUGAGGCUGUCUUUCCUCACCAUUAGGAAUUUAACAAGAUCACCCAGUUCCCAUCAGUGUGAUAGUCAUCCUUGCUCCUGUGGUUAUAAUGAUGCUGCUGUGGAGCAAAUGUUUUCCACUUCAGAUGUUCCUUGUGCAGAUGUGCUGUUGGUAAUUGCCUGGGUUGAUCAGUGUGACUUUUUCUAUUUCAAAGCAGAUUCAGUUACAAACAAGAUGAUAUUCAAGACUAUUUUAGACUGUUUAACUCCUUGUCAUGAAGGGAAAGAAUAAAGGUACAUCUUUCUUUCCAAGGAGCUUUUAAUCACAAAUAUUCUACAUAUCCUUAUGAUCUACACGUGUGUUCAGAUACCAUGGUGACAAGCACACCACAGGAGCCAUAGAAUAAAGAACUGCUUCAUUAAAGAAAGGGAUGGGGAAACAGAUUUUUUCAGCACAGUAAUGCAGUGCUGUAUGUGGGAUUUUCGGCUCUUGGGAUCUGUUCUAAAGCCAACUGCAGGCAUUGGCAGGUACCCAAGGACUUCAGUGGAUUCAGAGCAGCCUUUGUGCCUAUUUUAAGUAACAUUUUUAUUCAAAUAUCCCACAGUUGCACUACUAUUCAUGCUCUUACACUAACAUGAGCAAGAGUAGAAAUACUAAUUUAAUGAAGGAGCUGGUGUUUAAACUGUGUUGUUUAGGUCUGCUUUGAGUUUGGUAGUUAAUAACCAGUGGCCAACCCACCAGUACAGCAACACUGAAAAGUUCAAAGCAGGAUAUCAUUAUCCUUUAAAGGAAGAUGAAUACCUUGUCUUGCAGUAAAGGAGAGUUCUUGCUUUAGCUGUACUCUUGUUUCUGGAAGUCAGCUAAUGAGCUGAUGAGAAGCAUGCUGUGUGCUCCCAGGAAUUAACUGUGGCUCUCAUCUGGGUUUCUUCUUGAUGUGAGAAGUCUUAGUCUUGCUUCUCAUGGCCAUACAGAUUGCUUGACAUUUAAUAGAGAGACCUUAAGAAAUAAGGGACUGGAUCAAAGCCAGCCUGAGUUAACAGAAGGACUCCCAGAGCCUCUGGUAGCAGGCCUUACAUCUUGGUGGUCAGGUUGAGUACACUCCUGGGUAGCUGGAUUUCUGGCCUUCUCAAAGCAACAGUGAGUUCCUCCACUUCAUUCUGAAGCCUCUGCUCAGUUUUCUCCAUGUUGGUAGCCCAGGCUUGGACAGAUCCCACUGUCUUCUCUGCUUCCAGAGCCUUACAGACAACUCUGUCCUGGACAAAAGAUGGCAGAAAUAACCUGGUGAGUAGUUCAUAGAGUUGAAGAGUGGUGGAAUCAGUAGCCCUCACCUACUGAACACCAGGGAAAAAAUACUAACUGUUUUCACUGUUUUCACCAGGGAAAAAAUACUAACUUGGCAGCAGUCUCAAAACAGAUUGUAAAAACUUUGGUGUUUGCUUUAUCCUUAGGAAAUUGUAGAGGCUUUUUGUAGGGCUAAUGGAAGAGUAAAAUCCUGUUGAAAUUAAAAAGGCUAUCCAAAUUCAAGCCUUAAUCAGAAAGGUUUGUUUUCUGUUGUCAGUGUACCAAUGUUAGGUCUCAAUAGUCUCUGUUAUUGCAAGUAUUAUUUUCCUUCUCUUGGCUGAAGCCCUUUGCUUUCUGUCUCUCUUACCAAAUUGCAUCCUAGCAGAUCACAUCCAUAAACUGUGACUCAGCAGCCAAACUAAAUAAUGAGACUGCCCUAAGCCCCAGGCUCCCUGAAAGCUGAGUGCUCUCUUGGCUUCCUCCAGCUUUUGCUUCUACCAAUGGCAUCAAUCCUCUACUUGGUCCUCCAGACUGUGACUUCAGUGUUGAGUUUAGAGAGCUGAACUGCAGUUCACCUUUGCUUUUCUCCUCUUCCUCCAGCUGCUCUUUCACCAGGUCCAAACCCUGCUUGGUGUUGUCUGGGCUCCCACAGCAGCCUUGCAGGACUCAAGGUAGCACAAGUUCCACUUGAACCACUCAGUUCUGGACCAUCUAGAAAUAUCUCAGCCUUCAAAAUAUCUUACUGUUCAGGAGACAAGGUUUUCUUUUUCUCCUUUUUUUCUUUUUUCUUCUUUUUUCUCAUUUUUUUUACUGUAUUGCAGUGAAUUGAAUUGAGCUCAUACAACUGAAAACAGAACUUGGCUUGUCACCAUCACUGCUUGCUCUCAAACACUGUUUCAAAGAAUUAUGACAGUAAACCCAUUUGGUGAUUGUUCUGAACACAGAGUUCUUGCCAGACUGGUGACAUACAGGUGCAGCACUAGAAUUACUCUUUGGAGAUAAACAGAAAUUUCCAACACACAGGUGUCAGACAGGGAGAUUAAAUGUUGAUACAUUUUGAGCCAGACUUUUGUGAUCUCUGUAAAUAAACUGCUGCACAAUCCACUGAAUGGACAAUGGACUGAUGAUCAGGAGGCUCUCUGUGUUGUGCUCUGCUGCCAGCACAUGGGAGACUCCACAUCUUAUUUCCAUAUCCAUACAAGGCUCAUGUCCCCCACAUCCCCUCCACGACCAGCCAGUGACAAACCCAGGCAUUAACUUGGAUGAGAAAGUUCUCCUUUGUGAGGGCUACACAAGAGAUUUGUUACUUUGAAGUGGACAACAUUCAAAGGAGCAGGCAGUGCUCCAUGACAGCAGCAGCCUCUGCAGGCAGCUGGUGUUCCCCAGCACCUUGGACUCCUCAUCCAGCUGCCUCCUCAAGUCAUCUGCGUGCAAGGUGAGAGAAAUCAUUAGUGGACAGUGUGCUUAAGUCUGCUCUGAGCUUCCUGGAGCUCCCAACUCAGCUGGCUGGUUUUGGCUGUGUAACAACUGCAUAAAGAAGCAGGAGAAGAGCUAAUUCAAUGUGACUGGAGUGAGAGAAGGAUUGGGCAGAACUGUGAGAGGAGACAGGGCAGGGCUGCCAGAGCUGGAUGAAAUGUAGGGGAAGAGAAGGAUCCAAGGGAGGUAACAUUGCACAAAGCUGUCAAGGAAUUUACCUUGGAGCCUAAUGGCUUUAUUUUCAGCUUGGCUCUCCUCCACCCCAGCCAGCUGGGCAUUGGCCUCAGCCAGGUUAUCUUCCAGCUGGUGAACAUGAGCAUGGGAGUUCAGCUGGAAGACAGAGGUCAGUCAUAUGAUGCUGAGUAAGGCUUCAAGGACCAAGAUAUCCUCCCUCUCUGGAAAACUCAGUUUAUUCCAGUUGGUAAUUGCAUUGGGAUGACUGUAGUAGCCUGGGGGAGUGCAGAGUGUCCUGACCUUUUGUGAGGGGGAUGCCUCUUCCAUCAGCCAGGAUGAGCAGUGUUCAGCAUCAGCUGCCAACAGCUGCUUCCUGGCAUCUGCAGCUCCCACUGGAGAGCUGGAUUCUGCUUUGCACUCAUGGCUGCACCUGUGGCUGCAUUGGUUUGGUGAGGAAUUCCCUGCUGGUCUCUGCCCCUGGAUUUCUGCAGAGAUUCCAUGCUUACACUGAGUUUACCCAUUUCUGCCUUCAUGAGCUGUUUGUGUGUCUCCAGCUUUGCUUUCACUCUGGGGCAUCUCCAUGAGCUCUGCUCUCCCAGCCAUGGCAACUGUGUUCUUCUUAUGGCCCUGUCCUGCUUGAACUGACCUUGCUGCUUUCUGUGCCACUGGACAAACUCCUCCAACUGUUUUCUGCCUUGUAAGGUGUCUGACAACAUGGACCUAUGUCCUGAUAUGGAUGAGAAUUAAUCAGCUCACAUUUCUAAAGUGAAUUGAAAUGGAAAUGUUCCUUAUUUUUGAUGCUAUCAAUUUGUAUUAGUCAUUAGAACAUGUUCAGAGCAUCCUAUUCAAGUAUAGCCUCAGCUUCCAGGUCUUCUUCCAGCUCUUCACUGUCUGGAGUGACUGGAGUACACACACCAGCACAGCAGUGUCUGUGAGCAGAUGUGAGAGAAAUUUGUGGGAAUAUGAACAAGAAUCUUAAUUUCUUCACUCCCUUCUCUAUAUGUUUGUCAGCUCAACUGGAUUUUAUUUCCUGAGAGAGAUCUGUGGCUGGGAAUACUGAGCCAAAAAAGCAGGAAUGCCUGGCCAGGUGUCUCAGCAGACAGCUGAUGUUAUCUGCAGCAUGGUUGGCUUCCUGUAUGAUGUUGGAAUUUGGCCUUCAGGAAUAUAAUCAAGCUGAUUUGGUUACUUGAGGGGAAUAGAGGCUUGUUUGUAGAAAUAGCUGCAAUCUAGGUCUGUAUGUCAUGUUUUUGUUGAAAUUCUGAGUGUUUAGUUAAAUAUUUGAACACUGAAAUACUUGGAUGAAAUAAAUAUUUGA